UACGUAGGGUGCAAGCGUUACUCGGAAUUACUGGGCGUAAAGCGUGCGCAGGCGGUUGUGUAAGACAGAUGUGAAAUCCCCGGGCUCAACCUGGGAACUGCAUUUGUGACUGCACGGCUGGAGUGCGGCAGAGGGGGAUGGAAUUCCGCGUGUAGCAGUGAAAUGCGUAGAUAUGCGGAGGAACACCGAUGGCGAAGGCAAUCCCCUGGGCCUGCACUGACACUGAUGAGCGAAAGCCAGGGGAGCAAACGGG
rnacentral:rRNA from 1 species